UGAUCUCGAAUGAAUUGCGUCUCAUUUAUCACGCAAACCAAAACCAAAAUUGCGUCGAUAUAACGACGCAUUCUCUUUUAUGUCACACAUGCGCAGUAGCCAGCACUAUCUUUUAAGGCCAGGAGGCUUUAUUGUUAGCCUAUUUAUAACAAAAACAAAACGAUAUUCACGUUGCUUAACGUAACGACUCAUUAUAAAUAUGCUGUUAAGUCCCCACAAACUAAUACUGAGCUCUUUUGGGCUGUUAAAGUCAAGUUUUGAUUUUAGCAAGUCUUUUUCUGUUUGAUUGAAUUAAAACGAACCCUUUAAACAUUGACAUAAAUUUGUCCAGAGCGUGAUUUGCGCACAACAACCUCUAGGCCUACAACGUUUUGAAUAGUUUCAAAUAUUUCAUUCAUAAAUCCCCAGACCCCUUCCCUCUGCUACUACACCAAUGAUGUCAUUUUAUUGCGACCACUCUCUGGAUUGUGGAUUUUACGGACUGCAUUCCCAUGUACUGGGUUUAGCUGGACCGUAUUGGACUGGAGGUGACAGGAUAUUUUGUACCUGCUUCGGACUGGUUCUGUCAUUAACCUACUGAGCUGGUGCUUCUGUCCCAGGCAUCUCCAUCGCAUCGCUCCUAGGCAUCUGAAAGUGUACCGUUGCGCACAGAUCAUGCUGGUAACGAGUUAUUCAAAGGGUCUACCAAUCAUGGCAAAAACAGAAAUCCAGCUCCUCAGCCCAGGCAGUGCCAACAACCCAGCUGAUCCAGGAGCUGCAGCGAGGGGUAGUGAUGACACUCCGGGCACCCCGACUGCCCUCUUCAACCAUUCCCAUGGAAUUCAUCCUGUCCAGCCUCCGUCAGAUAAUCCAGCCCUCCCCCUCCUACUUCCAGAGACUAAUUUGCAGAUUCUAAUGGGUAUGUGCUAAGGAGAUGAUGAGUGAACACGCUGCCAGUUUGGUUGCAGUGUGUCACCGAAUUCCGUAGAUUCAUCAUCACUAUGUGGGGUGGAAGCUGCACAGACUACAACAAGGCUUCUGGGACCCCACUCCCCUCAAGCAAGACAUUUACCACCUGCUUCACCUAUGAAGGACUGAUUAUUGGCAGUGAUACCACAACGCAUACAAGCUGUUCAGCCUGCUGCCCUCCGGGUAGAGGUACAGGAGUAUCUGCUUCCGCAACUCCAGACUCGCCAACAUCUUCAUCUACCAGACUGUCAUGCCGAAUCGUCCCUCCUCUCUCCCAUCCCAGGAUGCCGAAUUAUGACCAAGUGACUGAAGAACUGCCAUACGUCUUCACUUGGUCAUGGCAUGACCAGAGGCUGUAUGCAGACUCACAGUAUAAUUCUACACGAUCCACUAUAAGUCAUAUUUUAUU